rnacentral:rRNA from 1 species
UACGUAGGGGGCAAGCGUUGUCCGGAAUCAUUGGGCGUAAAGCGCGUGUAGGCGGUUCAGCAAGUCUGCUGUGAAAGUCCAGGGCUCAACCCUGGGAUGCCGGUGGAUACUGCUGGGCUAGAGUACGGAAGAGGCGAGUGGAAUUCCCGGUGUAGCGGUGAAAUGCGCAGAUAUCGGGAGGAACACCAAUUGCGAAGGCAGCUCGCUGGGACGUUACUGACGCUGAGACGCGAAAGCGUGGGGAGCAAACAGG